AGCAAUACAUGUUGAAGCUCCCAUAUUCUUUCUCUCUCCUACAUGGCACACUCACAGGGCUUUAUUUUGUACUAUUUGAAAGCCUUUUUUCUCACAAUUUUUCAAAGCCAAAUUCGGUUCUUCCUCACAAGGUAUGAGUUCGACCCUUGACUCUUACAAAUUAGCGGUUCUUCCUCACAAAUUAUAUUUAGCCGAUAUUAAAAGCUUCUUGGUGUCGAUUUCUCUAUUAUUCAGCCGUUUCUUUUCUCAGAUUUCUCUCACAAUAUCAAGCAAUCAACCGUUUCUUUUCUCAAGUUUCUCUGUUAUUCAAUCAAUCUUUCACAAAUUAGGGAUGUGCUUGCUGCUCGUCCGGCCUCGAGUCACCGCUGAGCCCUGAAGUUCGUCCACCGCGCCGUCGACCACCACCGACGACUUCUCUAUUUUGAUACCUCCAUUUCCGGAUCCGCCGUGAUUCUUCCUACACAGCCAUGUAGGAAACGAAUUAUUGGUAUUGUAUUCAGAGUAGGCUGAAAUCGAUGUUUGAUCACUCCUGAUUUAUUUGUUGAAUCUUGUAUUUUCAGAUACAAGUGCUGGGUGGAUCGGGGGUGUUAACCUGGAUAAUGGUGGCGCGAAUGACCCGAAGAACCUUAAAAGUCAAGUAGGAAACAUGUAAGCAAAUGAUGGAAUAAUGCUAGGGUCGUGGGCUGCCUAGGGCGAGGGAACUGCCUUUCGAUUAUCUUCCGGAAGAAUUCAAGGCGCUGCCGGAGGCUGGGGAUUUCACCAUAUUCAUGGGCCUCGACAAGUACGAGAACGAGGAGCUCAUCAAAUACGAAUUUCCUGAAGAUAUUUGUUAAUAUGGCAGGAAAACAGAGGGACUUUGGAGGAGUGGAGAAGGGAGAUGAUCAGGCUACACGGCUUGAUCCUGGAAAAAAACAUUAGCUCAGAUUUUUCAAGAUGACUCUUUUAGGGAGUUUGAGUUCAAGCAGUAUUUAUUUGCCUGUCAAGCUAAGGUAUGAAAGUUAAUCAUAAACAUGCUUAGGUUUGUUUCGUAAUAUGUGUCAUGUAUGCCAUGAUGCUCUAUUAUAAUACAGGUUUCCCUUCUAUUAUUAUGUUUUUCUACUACAAUAUUUUUACAUUAAGAAUUAUGUUGUGGAUAUUUCAAUGAAUUGGUUGUUCUAUGUGACAUAUUCUCUCUGUUUUUCUGAAAAAAAUUAUUGUUGCUUUCAUUAUCCUUUGCUUUAACCUUCACGCAUGCUCCAAAAAGGGUUUCUGUGACUUCAGCUUCUCUUUAAAUUAAAACGUCCAUUUGAGGUUGCAUCAAUGGGUUAUUCGUUCAUAAUCAGCUUCUCAGGGGCAUUAGCUUUGCAUGAGAGUAUGUUGCCAUUUUGUAUGCGUGAAGUCUGGAUAAUCACAGCUUGCUUGGCGUUAAUCGGUGCAACUGCUUCUAACUAUGAAGAUGGAUUAGCAACACCUGAUGUUGAAAAGGAGUUUUACUUGGUCCAAGGGGAGUUAUAUACUUUGUGCCAUACAAAGGUAACAAUGCAAUUUCAUAAGAGUAGUUUUAGAAAACUGAGAGUGUAUAGCAUCUCUCUGUUUCCUUGCCAAUACAAGCACAGAGAAUGUACAUUUACCUGGAAGUUGAUCAUGAAAUGCUGAUAUUUGCUAGCAUACUGUUUUAAUUUGCCUCGA